rnacentral:rRNA from 1 species
CACCGCGGUUAUACGAGAGGCCCAAGUUGACAAACACCGGCGUAAAGCGUGGUUAAGAAAAAUUCACACUAAAGCCAAACAUCUUCCAGGCUGUUAUACGCAAUCGAAGAUAGGAAGUUCAACCACGAAGGUGGCUUUAUCUAACCUGAACCCACGAAAGCUAAGGAA